CCACACGCUACAUAGGAUUUUUUUAGAGAUUUUUAGGCAUCUAAAGUUUGGGCCCGAUCCAAGGGCCUAAAUGGCUGAGUUAUUAUAUUCUCCCUCUCUUAAAAUAAUUUCAUCCUCAAAAUUAACUUUGCUUGAUCAAUAACUUUAAAAGAACAUCGAUUAUAUCAUCCUCGAGCUUUUCAUAGUCUAUCUUUCAUAGUACU
rnacentral:lncRNA from 1 species